CAGGGAUCCAGCUCACCUGUCCUGCAGGCUGACGUCAUGGUCACCUUUCCAAGGGCAGUUUGAUUUCUAUCUUCCAGGCCCAGUCCUGGUAACCCCAGCAAACUCCGGCUGCCAGCCUGGUGUGGCCACUGCAGAGGACAUGCCACAUCUCCAGCCCCUUCUAUGCCCAUCGGUCAGAGGUGGAAACUGAGACCCAGAGAGCCGUGACUUGACUGAUCCCACAGCCAGGAAAUGGUGGAGCCUGGAUUUGAACCCCAGCUUUUAAGAAGAAGGUGCCACUGUCCUGGAAGAACUCUCAGGACAGCAUUAGUGUCUCAGGGAUCCCCCUAAUCGGAGGGGCCUUAAGGCAACCUAAUCAUGAUUGUCACUGAAGAUCCAGGAGGGCUUCCUGGAGGAGGAGGCAGCUCCAUUCUGAAAUGCCAAGGGUACAGCUUUAUUGGGACAGCCAGUGUCUCUGAAUAUGUAGGUUUUGCACAGAGCUUGUACUGCCCCAGGGCCUGUACACUGCCUGUCCCCUCUGCCUUGUGCACUCUUUCCCUAGAUGUCCAAAUGGCUCCUUUCCUCACCUACCCCAAAUCUCAAUUCCAGUGUUUCCCCAGCCUCCCCUCAUUUCAGUAAUCACUCUGCAGUGAGCUAGGAUUGCGCCACUGCACUCCAGCUUGGAUAAGAGAACAAGACCCUGUCUCUUAACUAAAUACAUAAAUAAAAAUAAUUCCCCUCUUCAUCCCUCUUUACCCUGUUUUGAUGGUUUUGUUCAACUUUUCACCAAUAGGACUUUCUCUUAUGCAUUUACUCGUUUCUCUUCCAAUCCCUCCC
rnacentral:lncRNA from 10 species